CCUACGGGGGACAGCAGUCGAGAAUCAUUCACAAUGGGGGAAACCCUGAUGGUGCGACGCCGCGUGGGGGAAUGAAGGUCUUCGGAUUGUAAACCCCUGUCAUGUGGGAGCAAAUUAAAAAGAUAGUACCACAAGAGGAAGAGACGGCUAACUCUGUGCCAGCAGCCGCGGUAAUACAGAGGUCUCAAGCGUUGUUCGGAAUCACUGGGCGGAAAGCGUGCGUAGGCUGUUUCGUAAGUCGUGUGUGAAAGGCGCGGGCUCAACCCGCGGACGGCACAUGAUACUGCGAGACUAGAGUAAUGGAGGGGGAACCGGAAUUCUAGGUGUAGCAGUGAAAUGCGUAGAUAUCGAGAGGAACACUCGUGGCGAAGGCGGGUUCCUGGACAUUAACUGACGCUGAGGCACGAAGGCCAGGGGAGCGAAAGGGAUUAGAUACCCUAGUAGUC
rnacentral:rRNA from 1 species